rnacentral:rRNA from 1 species
GACGAACGCUGGCGGCGUGCUUAACACAUGCAAGUCGAACGGAAAGGCCCUGCUUUUGUGGUGUGCUCGAGUGGCGAACGGGUGAGUAACACGUGAGUAACCUGCCCUUCACUUUGGGAUGACUUCAGGAAACUGGGGCUAAUACCGGAUAGGAGCUCCUGCUGCAUGGUGGGGGUUGGAAAGUUUCGGCGGUUGGGGAUGGACUCGCGGCUUAUCAGCUUGUUGGUGGGGUAGUGGCUUACCAAGGCUUUGACGGGUAGCUGGCCUGAGUGGGUGACCGGCCACAUUGGGACUGAGAUACGGCCCAGACUCCUACGGGAGGCAGCAGUGGGGAAUAUUGCACAAUGGGCGGAAGCCUGAUGCAGCAACGCCGCGUGCGGGAUGACGGCCUUCGGGUUGUAAACCGCUUUCGCCUGUGACGAAGCGUGAGUGACGGUAAUGGGUAAAGAAGCACCGGCUAACUACGUG